GUUUUGGGCAAAAAGAUCCUGGGGAAGAUCCCCCUGAGAACUGUAUCCUCACCCCAAACUGUGGAUUAUGUACUUAUCCAACACCCAGACUGGUAAUCCUGACUUCGUUCUGGGCCCAUGUGGAUUGACUUCCUUCAGCCCAGAUUGCCCUGGCCUGGGACUCUGAACAUCUUCACAGGGCAUUCUUCAUUGACCAGCUUCCUAUAUGCCUUCUUCAGCUUGUUCUCACUAACACCUGGAAAGUCCCUAAGGAUGCCUCAGAACUUCAUAUUGAUCAUGUUAGCCAUUGUGUGGCAGAGAUAG
rnacentral:lncRNA from 1 species